UCGACAUUGUAAACAAACUAUAUAUAGCUAAUCCAUGACGUAGGCAGCUCUCAGCGCUCCAGAUGCGUGAUAAUUUUAUUUUUCGGAAAAGAUGUGAAAUGAUAUGAAUCUAUGGAUAUAGUUUAUACUUGUCUUCUGAAUUAUAAUUUCUCUGAACGUUGGACAACACAUCCAUAGGAGUUUAUUCAUGAAAUAAAUUUCCACACUUCUAUAGAAAAUCAAGUGACACGAGUUUUGUGAGAAAAUAGAAAAAUAGUUUGGAUUGAUGGAUUUUGGAACUGUAAUUUGGACAUAACGAGUUUAGGAACGGUUUACUAUUGGGAAAUCAGAUCAGGUACCAAGAUCAUGAGCUGGAAAAUAUAAAUUCAGCAUAACUUAAUACAUUUUCAUUUUAUUUUCAGGAAUAAGUCAAUGAUAUAUAAAAUUAAAAUCAGAAUAAUAGAUAUAUAUUUUUUCCUUCAAAAAUAAGUAAAAAUGUAGUAUGAAAAACAAUCAGAUAGAUUUUGUAUUUUCUCUUGAGUAAUAUUCAAAUACCAAGGCAUAAAAUUACAAUCAUCAAAAUUUGUAAGAAACAAAUUUAUGAAGAGUUCCAUAAUAGAAACGACAGAACAAAAAUUAUAUGCAAUAAUAUAAAAAUUCAAAGAAGGAAAUACGGUAGUUUGUUUUCAGAUGUUCAUAUUUUUUAUUAAAUCAAUAAGUCAAUGCAGUAUGUAAAAUUACAAUCAUCAAAAUUUGUAAGAAACAUGUAGUGAAAUUCUCAUAAUAUAAACGACAAAACAAAAAUUGUAUACAACAAUAAUAUAAAGAAUUGAAAAAAGAAAUAGUUUGCUUUCAGAAGUUCAGCAUGUCAUCAUUUACUUCUAAUGAGUUCUUGCAAAGUAGUGUGAAAUUACAAUCAUCAAAAUUUGAAAGAAACAUUCAGAAAAAGUUUCAUUAUAAAAAUGAAUAAAAACUACAAAACAAAAAUACAGUAAUAAUAAUAUUUAGAAAAUUCUAAAAAUAAUGAAUAGUUUAUUUUCAGGUGUGUGGUGUGUAUCAUGUCACAGUCCCAAAAUAUUUCCCUAAUAUAUUUUCAAAAUAUUUCCCAAAUGUUUAUCAACUUGGAUAAACAACAUUACUAUAAUCCAAUUGCAAUGUCAGAUAAAGAAUUCAUUUUUUCAUUAUUCAACCUGCAAACUUAGGUCAAGUGAUCAUAAUGCACAAUGGAUCUGAAGCCACAAGUGAAAUAGAAAAUGUAGUUGGACAUAUACAGUACGAGCAAUGAUUCAGUAAAUUGAUUCAGUAAAUGUACAUGGAUAUUUUCUUCAUGGUAUUUUUGAAUAGAGAAUUUUUCUCAAAAGAAUAUUAAUUUUUGAAAAACUUA